GUGAAAGAGAGAGGGUGUGAUGGUUUUCUCUGCUGCACUUUCAGAUAAUUUUAUUGCUGAAUAAUAAAGACUCUUUUUUUGGUGAACUCAGCUGGUUGUGUGUAUUUACUGUGGUAGCCGUUCUCGUUUCUACAGUCAGGCCAUCAUUUCAGAAAGAACAACGAAGUAAUCAAUUAAGACAAUGGCAAAUAUGUUAUUCUCCCAUAAUUCAUAUCUACGGUAUCAUUUUCAAGAAGAUCUUUUGGCUGAUAAGAUCAGACUGUCCGUCUUCCUCAUCGUUGGAGAGUGUGUAGGUCUGCCAGCUCUAGUUUGGGCUCUGCGUGUUCUGUAUGGUCAUCAUAAGAGUGGAGGCCGAAUCUCAGUCUUUGUCAUCAUGCUUCUUCUUUCCGAUGUGCUGGUGCUGCUUCUGAAUCCAUACAUAGUGACAGCGUUGUUGCAGUAUAAAAGCUGCUUUGAGACGAGCACGACAUGCUGGAUGUUAACCUGUUUAUGGUCAGGAUCAAUGAUCUAUGGGUUUCUUCUACAACAAGUGGUGGCUCUAGAGGGCGCUUUCUCUCUGAGACAUCCACACUGCUCUGCUCAUGUUUUCUUUCCUUCUUGCUCCAUCAUCACCUCCAUCAUUGCAUUCAUUUGUUUCUUCCUUAGUGAGCUGUUCAGUGCAGUAGGUUUAGCAAUCUUGAGUUUGCCUCUUCUUUUAGUUACUCUUUUAGUAACACUGAUAUCAUGUAUAGUCACUUGUAGAGCUCCACCUCAAAUCAACGACUUCCGUUACAGAACCAAGAAGCCGAGUUGUACAGUGUUAGCUUUUGUCAGUUUCACAGUGAUCCUGCAGGGGACGUUCAUCAUCUUAAGUAUUUUUCUGUGGCGUUACAGAGUUGUGUUGGUGAUGUUUUUCUGUCUGAUGAGUUUGAGAGUGAUCACAGACCCCCUGCUGUGUAUGUUGGUCUACAGAAAAGACCUCAGGGUCGGGAAAGAAAGACGUGCAGAGCACAAAACAGACAUAGAGCUGACUCAGAUACAGAGCUCAGACACCCCAAACAGACACACAGCUCAAGAAGUCUGAGGUGAACAGCUUUUUGUAAGUCGCUCUGGAUAAGAGCGUCUGCUAAAUGAUGUAAAUGUAAAUGUGUCAAUACAAUCUUCAGUCAUCUAAAAUUUGACUUCUACAGUUUUUUGUACACUUAAUGUCCUAACAGCAUCUUAUGUGUCUGUGAGAUCAGAUCAGUUAACCAGGUAAUUA